CUGAUGAGGACAGACAAAGCUGUGGCUUAGCAAAAUACAGCUAUGGACAUCUGCUGAGGUGAUUGUCCUGAGGGAUGCUUUUUGGAGCAGUCACAAAACUUUGGAGGAAAUCUGGGCUCCUAGUCAAUGCUGAAACUCCCACUGACUUGGAAUGGAGAGAAUCUUGGCAACUCAAAUGGAACUUAAGUGUUUUGAGAUGAGGAUAAAGAUGAUUAUUUGAUGGUUGCUGCACUGCAGACAAGAUAUCCACUCCCUGGGUAAUAAGCAGAGUAUACAGCUGUCUAAUAUGUGCAUGUUUCUCCUGAGAAUUCACAAGUUCUUUAUUCAGAAAGUCAACUCUGCUAGAAAAAGCCGCCACCUGCUCAGGUUCCAACUCUUCCAUAUUUUUGAUGAUUCCCUCAGCUGCUUUCAGUUCACAAGAAGUUUCCUUUGAAGUGGGAACCUGGAGGAAAAGCCUUCUCAGAGAUUUUUCAAGUUCAUCUCUUCCCCAAACAAGCAUCUGAAGGCCAAGUCCUGCCCACUGUAUUUCCUUCUAUACUUCUUAAAACACUGCUGGUUUAGAAUAUCCUGCAAUGAAAUCGCUCACUUUCUCAAGAAAACACUCAAAAAAAUCCCCCAAAUGUCUUGAGGACUUGAAUUGGGUAAUCUCAACUUCCUACUGAAAUCAAAAGAGAUUAAUCCUGAGCACAAUAAAAGCACUUUUUUUUUUUCAUUUUGUCUAUUACUGAUAAACAGCUAUAGCAAAAUCUUUCUAAUUUUUAAAAUUUCUUUUUCAAAUUAAAAUAAUGACCAUUACUGACAUCUGGAUGCAAUAAUCUUCAGCUUGUACUUUUAAUUAAGUGAAAUCCUGCAUUCUAUUUUUUAAUGCACAAUUUCCCUUUCACAAAAUCCUUUCUCUCUCUAUCCUAAGCAAGAUUAAGGGAGAGUGAGGAUUUUAGGGAUAAUAAAUCACAGUCUGCUGUCCUGUAUUUGUUACCUUUUACCUGACAAAUCUAUCUUGGUGGGAGGAAAAAUUAGUAUACACACAGCUGAAGUGAUUUGAUUUCCAAUUAUAUCAGCACCAGAACAUUGUCAUCUUCCAAUACUUGCAGCUGGAAUUACUGGUAUGAAUUGCAUGCUCAGAUUUUAAAAGUAUUUUUACUUACAUUUAAACACAUAGAUAUUUAUGAUAAUUAGGAAAAAAUCCUGAAUUUAGGAGCUUUUAGCUGGGAUUAAUAAUAAUUUGCUACAAAAAAUGGCAAAGAAAAUGCAGAUGAAUAUGUGAAUCCUCAUUUUGCUAUUAUUUUUUAUUUGUAUCAUAAUUUAACAAUAGUGUCUUAUGCAAAAAUGAAAGAUGCACAUGUAUUAACAAGUGAAAACUGUCCAUAAUUAGCUUAGAAGCAAAUAUGGAAAGACAGAAAUUCUGAAUUGUUCCAGUGUAUUAUAUGUUUAAAUUAUAAUUACAGCAGGCAAGACUGAUUAUAAGAAAAUGAGUCAACUUAUGUGAAAUUAUUCCCUGUAAGAGUAUUUCAUUGCAACAAAAUUCAUAAAUUUUUUUGGUAGAAGAUCCCAACAGCAGCUUUUAGGUGAUCUAGAAGCAGAUAUUAAACUCUGCCUUGUUUAUAUUGAGGCAAGGCUCUUCUCUAAAUUUUCAUACAAGCUCAAAACCCCAAUUUAUUACAGUAAUUUGUAUUUUAAAACAUUCCAAAAACAUUACAACCUUACACACUCUCUGAGGGUAUUAAAUUUGGUUAGACUCAUUUGCUAUCCUGUUUAAACAUUCCUCAAACUUGGUUAAAUUUUCUAUAAAACAUCUAGCAACAACUUCAUUUUCAGCUCUCUAUUUACAAGGAAAUGUUUCUACACAUACAUAAAGAGCCUCAGCUUUCCAUCAACAUAAAAAAUCAGUGGAAAAAUCUUAGUUAGCUUCUUCUGCUCUUCAGACCUCAACAUGCUAAAUUCAUAGCAGUCUGCCAGCCAGCACUAACAUAUUUCUUACUCAUUUUCCUUGGAAGAAACACACAGCCUACUAUUACAUUGACUUUUCAAUUUAUCAGGAGAUGCUUGUGAAUUGCUCUGACAUAUUAAAGACAUGUUGCCUCCUCAGCUCUUGUCACUAUUCUUUUCCUCACACUAGUAAAUCUUUUAAAAGCUCACUUUCACUAUUCCAUUUGAGGAAAAUGAGUCCUUUCCAGGUUCCUUGAUUAAACAGGUAGUUUUCAAGUGUGUCAAAACUGAUGAAUUAAAAAUAUUGUAGCUUUAAUUAAAAGUCUUCAAGAUCUUCUGCUUUUUGAAAUAUUCAGCACAAGUCUGGGGGAAAAAAUGUGAAAAUACCUAAAAAUCUACGUUGUCAUUAAACAAUUAUUGUGGGAUAAAUUGA